rnacentral:pre_miRNA from 1 species
UCUAGAGGAAGCACUUUCUGUUUGUUGUCUGAGAAAAAACAAAGUGCUUCCCUUUAGAGU